AUACAGAGGGUGCAAGCGUUAUUCGGAAUCACUGGGCGUAAAGGACGCGUAGGCGGGUUGGCAAGUCAGAUGUGAAAUCCUACAGCUUAACUGUAGAACUGCAUUUGAAACUGCUAACCUAGAGUAUGGGAGGGGGAGAUGGAAUUAGUGGUGUAGGGGUAAAAUCCGUAGAUAUCACUAGGAAUACCGAAAGCGAAGGCGAUCUCCUGGAACAUAACUGACGCUAAGGCGUGAAAGCGUGGGGAGCAAACAGGAUUAGAAACCCCAGUAGUCC
rnacentral:rRNA from 1 species